GUGGACGCUCAGUAGCGUAUAUUAAGUUGUUGCAGUUAAAAAGCUCGUAGUUGAACUUUGGGUCUGGUUGGCCGGUCCGAUUUUAUGUCGCGCACUGGUUUUCAACCGGAUCUUUCCUUCUGGCUAACCUGUACUCCUUGUGGGUGCAGGCGAACCAGGACUUUUACUUUGAAAAAAUUAGAGUGUUCAAAGCAGGCGAAAGCUCGAAUAUAUUAGCAUGGAAUAAUGGAAUAGGACGUUUGGUUCUAUUUUGUUGGUUUCUAGGACCAUCGUAAUGAUUAAUAGGGACGGUCGGGGGCAUCAGUAUUCAAUUGUCAGAGGUGAAAUUCUUGGAUUUAUUGAAGACUAACUACUGCGAAAGCAUUUGCCAAGGACGUUUUCAUUAAUCAAGAACGAAAGUUAGGGGAUCGAAGACG
rnacentral:rRNA from 1 species